rnacentral:rRNA from 1 species
AACGAACGCUGGCGGCAUGCCUAACACAUGCAAGUCGAACGAGACCUUCGGGUCUAGUGGCGCACGGGUGCGUAACGCGUGGGAAUCUGCCCUCUGGUACGGAAUAACCCAGGGAAACUUGAGCUAAUACCGUAUAAUGACUUCGGUCCAAAGAUUUAUCGCCUGAGGAUGAGCCCGCGUCGGAUUAGCUAGUUGGUGAGGUAAAAGCUCACCAAGGCGACGAUCCGUAGCUGGUCUGAGAGGAUGAUCAGCCACACUGGGACUGAGACACGGCCCAGACUCCUACGGGAGGCAGCGGUGGGGAAUAUUGGACAAUGGGCGAAAGCCUGAUCCAGCAAUGCCGCGUGAUUGAUGAAGGCCUUAGGGUUGUAAAGCUCUUUUACCCGGGAUGAUAAUGACAGUACCGGGAGAAUAAGCCCCGGCUAACUCCGUGCCAGCAGCCGCCGUAACAC